GUGAGGAAUAUUGCACAAUGGAGGCAACUCUGACGCAGCCAUGCCGCGUGCAGGAAGAAGGCGCUACGCGUUGUAAACUGCUUUUAACCGGGAAGAAACCCCAGGACGUGUCCUGGGUUGACGGUACCGGAGGAAUAAGCACCGGCUAACUUCGUGCCAGCAGCCGCGGUAAUACGAAGGGUGCAAGCGUUAUCCGGAUUCAUUGGGUUUAAAGGGUGCGUAGGCGGAGCGUUAAGUCAGUGGUGAAAUCCUGCAGCUUAACUGUAGACUUGCCAUUGAUACUGGCGCUCUUGAGUGCGCUUGAAGUGGGCGGAAUGUGCCGUGUAGCGGUGAAAUGCUUAGAUAUGGCACAGAACACCAAUUGCGAAGGCAGCUCACUAAGGCGAUACUGACGCUGAGGCACGAAAGCGUGGGGAUCGAACAGGAUUAGAAACCCCGGUAGUCC
rnacentral:rRNA from 1 species